AAGAGACAUAAAUAAACGGGACUACAAAGAGCUGUGACACUGUUUACACAAAAGGUUUGUAAACUUUUCAAGUAAAGGCAUGGACUGUCCAUCCACU